rnacentral:rRNA from 1 species
AUUGAACGCUGGCGGCAUGCCUUACACAUGCAAGUCGAACGGCAGCAUGAUCUAGCUUGCUAGAUUGAUGGCGAGUGGCGAACGGGUGAGUAAUACAUCGGAACGUGCCCUGUAGUGGGGGAUAACUAGUCGAAAGAUUAGCUAAUACCGCAUACGACCUGAGGGUGAAAGUGGGGGACCGCAAGGCCUCAUGCUAUAGGAGCGGCCGAUGUCUGAUUAGCUAGUUGGGGAGGUAAAGGCUCACCAAGGCGACGAUCAGUAGCGGGUCUGAGAGGACGAUCAGCCACACUGGGACUGAGACACGGCCCAGACUCCUACGGGAGGCAGCAGUGGGGAAUUUUGGACAAUGGGGGCAACCCUGAUCCAGCAAUGCCGCGUGUGUGAAGAAGGCCUUCGGGUUGUAAAGCACUUUUGUCCGGAAAGAAAUCGCACUUACUAAUAUUAGGUGUGGAUGACGGGACCGGAAGAAUAAGGACCGGCUAACUACGUGCCAGCCGCCGCCGUAAGAC